UACGUAGGGUGCAAGCGUUGUCCGGAAUUAUUGGGCGUAAAGAGCUCGUAGGCGGUCUGUCGCGUCUGCUGUGAAAACUCAGGGCUUAACCCUGAGCUUGCAGUGGGUACGGGCAGACUAGAGUGCGGUAGGGGAGACUGGAAUUCCUGGUGUAGCGGUGAAAUGCGCAGAUAUCAGGAGGAACACCGGUGGCGAAGGCGGGUCUCUGGGCCGUAGCUGACGCUGAGGAGCGAAAGCAUGGGGAGCGAACAGG
rnacentral:rRNA from 1 species